rnacentral:rRNA from 1 species
UCCGGUUGAUCCUGCCGGACCCGACUGCUAUCGGCAUGGGAUUAAGCCAUGCGAGUUGAGCGUCUUCUAGCUGUGGAAGGCGCGGCAUACGGCUCAGUAACACGUAGUUAACCUACCUUGAAGACGCGGAUAAUCCCGGGAAACUGGGGCUAAUACGCGAUAGAUUCAAAGUUCUGGAAUGGCUUUGAAUCCAAAGGGCUGAAGGAGCAUGCUUCUUCAGUCGCUUCAAGAUGGGACUGCGGCCGAUCAGGUAGUUGGCGGGGUAAUGGCCCACCAAGCCUAUAACCGGUGCGGGCUCUGAGAGGAGGAGCCCGGAGAUGGACACUGAGACAAGGGUCCAGGCCCUACGGGGCGCAGCAGGCGCGAAACCUUCACAAUGCGCGAAAGCGCGAUGAGGCUAUACCGAGUGUCAUCCGCUGAGGGUGACUUUUCCUCGAUCUAAAACAUCGAGGGAAUAAGGGGAGGGCAAGCCUGGUGUCAGCCGCCGCGGUAAUACCAGCUCCCCGAGUGGUCGGGACGAUUAUUGGGCCUAAAGCAUCCGUAGCCGGCUUCACAGGUCUCUUGUUAAAUCCAACGGCUCAACCGUUGGACUGCAGGGGAUACCAUGGAGCUAGGGGGCGGGAGAGGCGGACGGUACUCCAUGGGUAGGGGUAAAAUCCUUUGAUCCAUGGAAGACCACCAGUGGCGAAGGCGGUCCGCUAGAACGCGCCCGACGGUGAGGGAUGAAAGCUGGGGGAGCGAACCGGAUUAGAUACCCGGGUAGUCCCAGCCGUAAACGAUGCAGGCUAGGUGAUAGAGAGGCUAUACGCCUUUCUAGUGCCGCAGGGAAGCCGAUAAGCCUGCCGCCUGGGGAGUACGGCCGCAAGACUGAAACUUAAAGGAAUUGGCGGGGGAGCACCACAAGGGGUGAAGCCUGCGGUUCAAUUGGAGUCAACGCCGGAAACCUUACCAAGGGUGACAGCAGGAUGAAGGUCACUCUAAAGAAAUUACCAGACGAGCUGAGAGGAGGUGCAUGGCCGUCGCCAGCUCGUGCCGUGAGGCGUCCUGUUAAGUCAGGAAACGAGCGAGACCCCCACUGCAAGUUGCUAUCAUUACCCGAAAGGGUGAUGGGGCUAAUUUGCAGGACCGCCAUCGCUAAGAUGGAGGAAGGAGGGGGCCACGGCAGGUCAGUAUGCCCCGAAACCCUUGGGCCACACGCGGGCUGCAAUGAUAGGGACAACGGGCCCCGACCUCGAAAGAGGAAGGAAAUCCUCAAACCCUAUCCCAGUUAUGACUGAGGGCUGCAACCCGCCCUCACGAAUCUGGAAUCCCUAGUAACCGCACGUCACUACCGCGCGGUGAAUACGUCCCUGCUCCUUGCACACACCGCCCGUCGCUCCACCCGAGUUGGCUCAUGGCGAGGUGUCGUCAAGUUGGCGACAUCGAACCUUGGGUCGGCGAGGGGGGAGAAGUCGUAACAAGGUGGCCGU